GCCUACAUAGCUCAGUCAGGCAGAGCAACGCACUCGUAACGCGUAGGUCAUCGGUUCGAUUCCGAUUGUAGGCUCCA
rnacentral:tRNA from 1 species